GAGUUUGAUCUGGCUCAGAACGAACGCUGGCGGCGUGCCUAACACAUGCAAGUCGUACGAGAAAAUUCGCUUCGGCGGAUGAGUAAAGUGGCGCACGGGUGAGUAACGCGUGGAUAAUCUUCCCUUUAGUCUGGGAUAACUCACCGAAAGGUGAACUAAUACUGAAUAAUACUGUUUCUGCUAAGGCGGAGCAGUUAAAGAGGACCUCUGUAUACAAGUUCUUGCUAAAGGAUGAGUCCGCGUACCAUUAGCUAGUUGGUAGGGUAAUAGCCUACCAAGGCGACGAUGGUUAGCUGGUCCGAGAGGAUGAUCAGCCACACUGGAAUUGAGAUACGGUCCAGACUCCUACGGGAGGCAGCAGUGAGGGAUUUUGCGCAAUGGGGGAAACCCUGACGCAGCAACGCCGCGUGAGUGAGGAAGGCCUUCGGGUCGUAAAGCUCUGUCAGAUGGGAAGAAAUGCGGGAAUGUCAAUAGCUUUCCCGCUUGACGGUACCAUCAGAGGAAGCACCGGCUAACUCCGUGCCAGCAGCCGCGGUAAUACG
rnacentral:rRNA from 1 species